rnacentral:rRNA from 1 species
GGCGAGUGGCGAACGGGUGAGUAAUACAUCGGAACGUGCCCUGUAGUGGGGGAUAACUAGUCGAAAGACUAGCUAAUACCGCAUACGACCUGAGGGUGAAAGUGGGGGACCGCAAGGCCUCAUGCUAUAGGAGCGGCCGAUGUCUGAUUAGCUAGUUGGUGGGGUAAAGGCCUACCAAGGCGACGAUCAGUAGCUGGUCUGAGAGGACGAUCAGCCACACUGGGACUGAGACACGGCCCAGACUCCUACGGGAGGCAGCAGUGGGGAAUUUUGGACAAUGGGGGCAACCCUGAUCCAGCAAUGCCGCGUGUGUGAAGAAGGCCUUCGGGUUGUAAAGCACUUUUGUCCGGGAAGAAAUCGCACCUGAUAAUACCGGGUGUGGAUGACGGUACCGGAAGAAUAAGGACCGGCUAACUACGUGCCAGCAGCCGCGGUAAUACGUAGGGUCCAAGCGUUAAUCGGAAUUACUGGGCGUAAAGCGUGCGCAGGCGGUUGUGCAAGACCGAUGUGAAAUCCCCGGGCUUAACCUGGGAAUUGCAUUGGUGACUGCACGGCUAGAGUGUGUCAGAGGGGGGUAGAAUUCCACGUGUAGCAGUGAAAUGCGUAGAGAUGUGGAGGAAUACCGAUGGCGAAGGCAGCCCCCUGGGAUAACACUGACGCUCAUGCACGAAAGCGUGGGGAGCAAACAGGAUUAGAUACCCUGGUAGUCCACGCCCUAAACGAUGUCAACUAGUUGUUGGGGAUUCAUUUCCUUAGUAACGUAGCUAACGCGUGAAGUUGACCGCCUGGGGAGUACGGUCGCAAGAUUAAAACUCAAAGGAAUUGACGGG